AAAUAUUUUUAAUAAAAUAUCAAGACACUCCAUAUAUUUUUAAGGCUUAGGCUUAGUUUGAUAUUGAGGUCUAUCUAACUCUAUUAAAUAAAAUAAAAUUAGGGUAAAAAUAUAUAGGAAUAUUAUGUGUUCUCCGGUGGGACUGUAGAAAAUAUAUCGUAACCAACUAAUCUCGAUGUACAAAACAUAAUAUUAUAUACGGAAACUAACAGUAUAUUUUUGUUUGUGAUUACGGGGAGAUUGCAUUAUGUGCGGUGACAAAAUACAAUGAAAAAAUAUUCUAUUUAUUUUAGUAUAUAAUAUUACGUUCCACGAACGUAGAAGUCAUUUUAAUAGCAUUGUCUGAGCAUCAAUAUCAAACUAAGCUUUAGUUCACAAUCCCAAGCGGGCCAAAACAUAAGCGGGCCUCAUUUAACAUGCCCCCGUUGCAACGGCCCACGUAUUAUUCCGCCUUCUCCUCUUUUCCUUUCCCGAAACACAAAAUCCCGAUUCCCUUAUUCCCUUAGACAUUAUCUAUACUAUUAAAGUUAUUUACCAAAUUUCAUAAUUUUUUAUUUCAUUUGACUAAUGAACGAGUAAUCUUAAAAUGAACAUGUGAAAAUAAAAAAAUCUCAUAAAAAAUAAUAAUAAAAGGCUCAAUUUUGAAAUUGAAAGUAUUGUUCUUACUCUUCAUGUUAAGUAAAUUUUUUAUUAAAAUUUUAUGUAAUUUGAAUUCUUCUACAUCGUUGAACUUACAAACGUUUCACAUCGGCCGUUAAAAUAGUUAUUUUUAAGACCAGGUGAUCACUUGUUAAAUAAUGUCGAAAAAUUAUAAAUUUUAGUUUCUAAAUAAUUUUAAUAGCGUAGAUCAUAAUUAACGGACCGAUCGUCGAAUCGAAUGUUAUACCAUCAAAAAUAACAUACAAGUACUGGGACCUCUGUGCUUUCGAAAGCACACGAGACAUACUUUCGCUUUCUCUCUCUCUCUCUCUAUAUAUAUAUAUAUAUAUAAGCAUCAGUAUUUGGUGCUUGUAAGUUUCCACCAUUAGAUCUACAUCUUUAACCAUUUCCGUCCGUUAGAUCAUAUUAUAACAACAUUAUUUGGUAGCGAUUAUAAUUAUAAUUUUAUAGUAUAAAAGAAUGAAAGUUUAGUAGGACUUUUACAUUUUUUUUUUCCUUCAUUUUCUAUAAUAGAUUUUAGCGAACCAUAUAUCACCAAACUAGAUCUAACUUGUACUAGGAUCAAAGUAUAGGCAAACAUUCUGCCAUAAUCUCAGUAGCACGUUCAAUCUCCUUCUCUAAAAUGAUCAAUGGCGGUACAAGCCUAACAACAUAUCCCUUCCCCGCAGUGUGCAUGAAAAGAUAAAAAUAUGAGUUAAAAUUUAAAAAUUAAAUAUAUAAUUUUAAAUUUUAAUUUGAACUUAAAUUAAAAUUUAAAAUUUAAUCAAGUAUUUCGAAUCUAACUUAUUAAUUUGAAUUUAAAUUAAAUUUUAAUUUAUAUAAAGUUUUAUUCAAAUUUUAUUUCAAAUUUAAAUUAAAUUUAUGGAUUCAAAUUAAAAUUAAAAUUAUAAUUUUAGUUUGAAUUUGAAUAAAUCAAAAUUUAGUUUCAUAAUUUGAAUUAUCCACUCAACUUCAAAGUUUAAUUUUUUUAAAAAAAAUAGAUUUAAAAUUUUGACAUUAUUUCAAAAUUUUGAUAUAAAUUUUUAAUAUUUAAUUUUUAAUUUGAAUUUAAAUUAAUAUAUUAUAAAGAUAAUGUUAAUAUAUUAAUUUGAUUACGUUUUUUAUAUCCACCUGAACCAAACACUAACAAUGGGAAUGAUUUAUUCCGAUUCCGAUUCAGGUGAUGAACCAAACAGAAUUAGGUAAUGAGUCAUUCCGAUUCCGAUUCCAGCUUAUUUUGAUUCCGAUUCCAAUUCCAACUCCAAUUUGGAACCAAACACGCCCUAAAUGUAUGGAAUGGCGCGAUAUUUUAUUAUGAAGGGAAAAAAAACUCGAAUAUCGAAAAUUAAUUCAAAAUGAGCUAUGGAUAGCGAGAGAGAAAAAAAAACUGAGACGAAUAUUUGUAAUAGUUUAGCAUUUAUAUUUAUGAUACUUAUGCAAUCUAUGUUGAAUACAGUUCCUACUUGGAACCUCGUGUAUUGCAUUAUAUAGAUUGUACAUGAAAAGCUCUGUCCGUUCGGCGGUCUGUUGGCGUGCCCUAAUCCGACCAAAUAGGCGGAGCUCGGGGCGUGGCGUCACAAUCUAUACAAUGCCAGAAACAAUAUUCAAACACAGAUUACAUAAAUAUCAAAAACAUAUAAGGCUACUAUGCUAUUACAAGUAUUCAUCUCAAAAAUCUUACAUUUACAAUAUUAUAUAAGCCUUUAAGUUAUUACAACCUAUACAAUUUACUACAAAUUUGUUACUUUCAUUUUGAAUUCUGAGUUAGACCAUCUUAGGAUAUUGCUAUCUCGGUCUCAGUGGUAGGGCGCUAUCUACGGAGCUACGUCCUAUACUCGGGCGACCGCGCCGCCCCCGUGUUAUUUUUGAGGCUACAGGUUAAUUAUUUUUUGAUAUUCAAAUAUUUUUAAUAAAAUAUCAAGACACUCCAUAUAUUUUUAAGGCUUAGGCUUAGUUUGAUAUUGAGGUCUAUCUGACUCUAUUAAAUGAAAUAAAAUUAGGGUAAAAAUAUAUAGGGAUAUUAUGUGUUCUCCGGUGGGACUGUAGAAAAUAUAUCGUAACCAACUAAUCUCGAUAUACAAAACAUAAUAUUAUAUAGAGAUUACAUUAUGUGCGGUGAGAAAAUACGAUGAAAAAAUAUUCUAUUUAUUUUCGUAUGUAAUAUUACGUUCCACGAACGUAGAAGUCAUUUUAAUAGCGUCGUAUGAGCAUCAAUAUCAAACUAAGCUUUAGUUCACAAUCCCAAGCGGGCCAAAACAUAAGCGGGCCUCAUUUAACAUGCCCCCGUUACAACGGCCCACGUAUUAUUCCGCUUUCUUCUCUCUUCCUUUCUCGAAACACAAAAUCCCGAUUCCCUUAUUCCUUUAGGUAUCGUUUGGUUCGGGGAUAAGACAAAAGUGGCUAUUCCAAGGAUAGGUAUAAAUUGAGGUAUAAGCGAGGAUUAGAUCAAUUUUGCGUUUGGAUGAAAAUUGGGUUAUUCCUGGAAUAAAAAAAAUAGCGUUUGGUUAGGUAAGAUGGAAUAAGAAAGAUAAUGGGUUUUGUAAAUAAAAAAUAAUGAUAUUAUCCACUUAUUAUAUUUGAAUUUGAAUUUUUAAAUUUUUAAAUUUAUAUUUCUAAAUUUAAAAUUUUAACUUUGAAAUUUAAAAUCUCAAAUUUUAAAUUCAAAAUUUUAAAUUUUAAAUUUCAAACUUUAAAUUUAAGAUCAUAUUUAAAUUUAAAAAAUAUAAAAUAUCAAAUUUUAAAUUUCAUAAAUUUAAAAUAUCAAAAUUUAAAUUUAAAAUUUAUAAUUUAUAAUUUAAAUUUUAAACUUUAAUUUUGAGAUUAUAAAUUAUAAAUUUUAAAAAUUUAAAUUUUUAAUUUUUAAAAUUUUAAAAUAAGAAUAGUGGUGGGAACAAUUAAUAAAAAUAAUUUAUUAUAAUAAAUUUAUAAAUUUUUUAAAAAUUCUACUUAAAUUUAAAUUUAAUAAAAAGAAUUUAUUAUAAUAUUUAAAUUUAAUUUAUUAUAAAUUUUAUUAUAAUAUUUAAAUAUAAAUAAUAUGUAUUAAUAUAGUACAAUUAAUAAUUUUAUAAUAAAAAUAAUGUAUUAUAAUAUAUAACAUAUUAUAUUUAUAUAAUUUAGUUUAAUUCAAUUUAUAAGUUUAAUUAAGUUUGAAAUUAAGCAUUGGAAUAGCACUAUUCCACCAAAAUGGUGGAAUAGCAAAUCCCUUGCUAUUCCGGGAUAACCGAGAAUAGCAAGGUUUGACCGGGAUAAAAUAUUCCGGCCAAAUUUCACCCCGUUUGGCGGAAUAGCGGGGAUAACUUUCGUUAUCCCCGCUUAUCCCGCGAUCCAAACGGGGCCAUAUUAAAGUUAUUUACCAAAUUUCAUAAGUUUUUAUUUCAUUUGACUAAUGAACGAGUAAUCUAAAAAUGAACACGUGAAAAUAAAAAAAAAUCUCAUAAAAAAUAAUAAUAAAAGACUUAAAUUUGAAAUUGAAAGUAUUAUUCUUACUCUUCAUGUUAAGUAAAUUUUUUUUUAUUAAAAUUUUAUGUAAUUUGAAUUCUUCUACAUCGUUGAACUUACAAACGUUUCACAUCAGCCGUUAAAAUAGUUAUUUUUAAGACCAGGUGAUCACUUGUUGAAUGAUAUCGAAAAAUUAUAAAAUUUAGUUUCUAAAUAAUUUUAAUAGCGUAGAUCAUACUUAACGGACCGAUCGUCGAAUCGAAUGUUAUACCAUCGAAAAUAACAUACAAGUACUGAGACCUCUGUGCUUUCGAAAGCACACGAGACAAACUUUCGCUUUCUCUCUCUCUCUCUCUCUCUCUCUCUCUCUCUCUAUAUAUAUAUAUAUAUAUAUAUAUAUAUAAAAGCAUCAAGUAUUUGGUGCUUGUAAGUUUCGACCAUUAGAUCUACAUAUUUAACCAUUUCCGUCCGUUAGAUCAUAUUAUAACAACAUUAUUUGGUAGCGAUUAUAAUUAUAAUUUUAUAGUGUAAAAGAAUGAAAGUUUAGUAGGA
rnacentral:lncRNA from 1 species